UUAUGGCCAUAUCAUGUUGAAACACCAGUUCUCAUAUGAUCACUGAAGUUAAGAAACGUUGAGCCUGUUCAGUAUCUAUAUGGAUGACCACUUGGGAAUACCAGGUGCUGUAAG